AUUGCAUUUACUGUGGAUUUUAUUUCUAUUAUUAUUACCUUGUAAUAUAUAAUGAAAUAAUUGUACAACACACCAUAAUGUAGAAUCAGUGGGAGCCCUGAGUUUGUUUUCCAGCAACUAGACAGUCCCAUCAAGGCGUGACGGGAGACAGUGACAGAUCAUCAGGCAUUAGAUUCUCAUAAGGAGCAUGCAACCUAGAUCCCUUGCAUGCGCAGUUCACAAUAGGGUUUGCAUUCCUACGAGCAUCUAAUGCCACCACUGAUCUGACAGAAGGCAGAGCUCAGGUGGUAAUGUGAGCAGUGGGGAGUGGCUGUACAUACAGAUGAAGCUUCGCUAGCUCACCCACCUUUCAACUCCUGCUGCGUGGCCUGGUUCCGAACAGGCCAUGGACCGGUACCGGGGUUGCGGACCCCUUACUCUAGAGCUCAUUCAACCUCCACAGCAAGUUAAAGGAACUUCAUAAUUACCUACUCCAAGUUUGCAGUAAAUGUACCCACUGGGAUUUUAAAAU
rnacentral:lncRNA from 1 species